AUGGGCCCGUGGGGUCAGCGUGGGGAGGAGCUGGGAGCCCGUGGCCUUGGCUGGGUGCUCCAGUCAGCACAGACGCGGGCUAGGUGCCUUCUCCGAGGCGGCUGCUGGGAUCCGGAGGUGGACACCAGAGACACGGCCCCUCCUCUCGGAUCUCCGGGCGGCUCUGCCCAGUGCAGCUCGUCCACCUGCUCUGCUCUUUGGUGCCCGGGACUCUGCAUCCUGGCUACAGUGACCUCAAGGCUGGGCCACCGCUCAAAGACCUCAGCCUCCCUACCCUUGGGAUGGAGCCUCUGGUGGACCAGAGCCCUUCUUGGCUCCCCUCCUCUGAUGGCAGUCCCUUCCGGAGGGGACAUCCCAGCACUUGCAGGAGAGCCCCGGUAAAAGCCGGAAGUUGUCCUCCCAGGGCGGGAGGUGGCCGGAUUCCUCCGCGGGACUGCAGGUGCCAAGUCACAGUGCUGGAGGCGGGGCCGUCAAGUCCAGGAAGGGGCCUCUCCACUGUGUCCUCACAUGGCCUCUUCUCUGUGGAGGGACAGCAAGCAAGCUCAG
rnacentral:lncRNA from 1 species